UAUCACAGGAACUGGAUAAUGGACAUCCACAGAUUAAUACAUACCAUACGAAACGUAACAUCAUACUAAAUGGAGUGUUUCAGAUUUACGUACAGAAUAAUAAGAAAUGCUCUGAGACCAGGUUGAGCCUGUGGGUGGGAGUGUUUCUGGUCUUACCUGCAAUAUUUGCUUCACUAAAAUAUUGCAUAUAAGUCGAAUAUUAAGAAAGCAGAAUUUGACAUGAAGACCACAGCCAACCUUGUGCUGCUUGUUCUUCUCCCACAGAAUCUACAUUGAUUUAAUCUGCUCUGUCCUUUCACACAGAACCCUCAUGUUUGGUCCAGUGCCGUGUAGAUUACCAGGAGGCAUCAAGACGUGCAUCCUUCGACCAGUAGCCAGGGUUUUCACCAGCAGCGACAGAAUGGCCAAGAGCAAGUUUCAGUACGUCUGUAACUUCGAGACAGACGGCACCUGUCUGAAAAACUGUUACAUCGUGGUGCGGUUGGAUGGGAGGAACUUCCACAAGUUUGCAGAGCAGCACAACUUCCUGAAGCCCAACGACGACAGAGCUCUGGGUCUGAUGACGUGCAGCGCCAGGUCUGUCAUGGAGGACCUGGAUGACAUCAUCAUCUCGUACGGACAGAGUGACGAGUUCAGCUUCGUCCUCAAGAGGACCUCUGGUUCAAAAGGAGAGCCAGGUCAGUCAACAACCUGUAUAACACAGUGUUUUGGACGUUGGUGCAGAAAGGCGGACUCACCACUACACAGGCAGAGGACCGACUAAAGAGAACAUUGGCUGCAGAUAAGAAUGAAAUACUGUUUUCUGAGUUUGAUAUCAAUUACAACAAGGAGCCUCUGGUCCACAGGAAAGGAACAGCCCUAAUCUGAGAAGCUGGAAGAAACAGUGACCACGAGUGUGAAGCUCCCCAACAAGGAGGAGGAGGAGCCAGUGCCACGAACCAGGAGGCGUGUCAGUGCCCACCGCUGUGACGUCAUAGGGGACGAGUUCUGGGAGGAACACCCCAACAUUCUAGAAGACGACUGCUGAAAACGUUUCCUAGAGGAGCAGAAACCUGCACAGUGGUUAACGUUGAACAUGGACAGAGUCUAGGGCGAGUUUGUUGUACUUCUAUGCUCCUGCUGUGGGAUGGAGAGGGUUGGAAGCUGUCAGGGACUGUAUGGAUACUCUUAAUCACUAACUCUUGAUUGGAACAAACUGUCAGCGGUGGCAUAACUCAAACACCAUCAUGCUCUUUGCUCAUGUACUGUAUACAAAUAUUUUAAAUACGGCCUGUCUUAUGUCUGGAACCAUUAAACCAAGAGAAUGUGUAUUGUUGAUGAUGUUUUGCCGGUGGUGAUGCUGGCAUAUUAUAUCAUCAUAAUAAACUAGUAGGCUUACUGUUGGGU